rnacentral:rRNA from 1 species
GACGAACGCUGGCGGCGUGCUUAACACAUGCAAGUCGAACGAUGAAGCACCAGCUUGCUGGUGUGGAUUAGUGGCGAACGGGUGAGUAACACGUGAGUAACCUGCCCCUCACUCUGGGAUAAGCCUGGGAAACUGGGUCUAAUACUGGAUACGACCGAUCUCCGCAUGGAAUGUUGGUGGAAAGUUUUUGUGGUGGGGGAUGGACUCGCGGCCUAUCAGCUUGUUGGUGGGGUAAUGGCCUACCAAGGCGACGACGGGUAGCCGGCCUGAGAGGGCGACCGGCCACACUGGGACUGAGACACGGCCCAGACUCCUACGGGAGGCAGCAGUGGGGAAUAUUGCACAAUGGGCGAAAGCCUGAUGCAGCGACGCCGCGUGAGGGAUGACGGCCUUCGGGUUGUAAACCUCUUUCACCAGGGACGAAGCUAACGUGACGGUACCUGGAGAAGAAGCACCGGCUAACUACGUG